UACAGGGGGUGCAAACGUUGCUCGGAAUUAUUGGGCGUAAAGCGCGCGUAGGCGGCUACUUAAGUCGGAUGUGAAAGCCCUUGGCUCAACUGAGGAAGUGCACCCGAAACUGAGUGGCUAGAGUACGAAAGAGGGUCGCGGAAUUCCCUGUGUAGAGGUGAAAUUCGUAGAUAUCGGGAGGAACACCGGUGGUGAAGGCGGCGACCUGGGUCGAUACUGACGCUGAUGCGCGAAAGCGUGGGGAGCAAACAGG
rnacentral:rRNA from 1 species